CCGGGCUCUAAAAACAGCACCUCCAUUACGCCUCCCCACAGCCUGUGUCAACCCAGAGGAGGCUUCUGUUACCUUACAGAUGAGUGAACCCGAGGCUCAGGACCUUUAACGACUCGGUGGGGAGAACAUUGCCAAACAUCUCUCAUGGAAAGGAACUGGAUUUCAUCAUCCUCAAGUCUUAUCUGGGUGCCUACAGAAACCGAAAGACAAAUGUUGUGUGAAGUUGAUGAAGCAAUCUACCACAAGCACCAAUUUCAAAGCAGGCCUAAAAAUAACUUUUGUUGAAUCAUAAACACUCCAUUAAAAACAAA